rnacentral:rRNA from 1 species
AACGAACGCUGGCGGCAUGCCUAACACAUGCAAGUCGAACGAGACCUUCGGGUCUAGUGGCGCACGGGUGCGUAACGCGUGGGAACCUGCCCUUAGGUUCGGAAUAACUCCCCGAAAGGGGUGCUAAUAUCGGAUAAGGUCUUCGGACCAAAGAUUUAUCGCCUUUGGAUGGGCCCGCGUUGGAUUAGCUAGUUGGUAGGGUAAAAACCUACCAAGGCGACGAUCCAUAGCUGGUAUGAGAGGAUGAUCAGCCACACUGGGACUGAGACACGGCCCAGACUCCUACGGGAGGCAGCAGUGGGGAAUAUUGGACAAUGGGCGAAAGCCUGAUCCAGCAAUGCCGCGUGAGUGAUGAAGGCCUUAGGGUUGUAAAGCUCUUUUACCCGGGAUGAUAAUGACAGUACCGGGAGAAUAAGCUCCGGCUAACUCCGUG